rnacentral:rRNA from 1 species
GAUGAACGCUAGCGGGAGGCCUAACACAUGCAAGCCGAGCGGUAUUGUUUCUUCGGAAAUGAGAGAGCGGCGUACGGGUGCGUAACACGUGUGCAACCUGCCUUUAUCUGGGGGAUAGCCUUUCGAAAGGAAGAUUAAUACUCCAUAAUAUAUUGAACGGCAUCGUUUAAUAUUGAAAGCUCCGGCGGAUAGAGAUGGGCACGCGCAAGAUUAGCUAGUUGGUGAGGUAACGGCUCACCAAGGCGAUGAUCUUUAGGGGGCCUGAGAGGGUGAUCCCCCACACUGGUACUGAGACACGGACCAGACUCCUACGGGAGGCAGCAGUGAGGAAUAUUGGUCAAUGGGUGCAAGCCUGAACCAGCCAUCCCGCGUGAAGGACGACUGCCCUAUGGGUUGUAAACUUCCUUUGUAUAGGGAUAAACCUACCCUCGAGAGGGUAGCUGAAGGUACUAUACGAAUAAGCACCGGCUAACUCCGUG